AACCCUAAGGCGCAAUGAAAGUGAAAGUCAAACAUCGCAUUGACUGAGGCAGGAUCCGUCCGGGUGAGCGAAGCUCUUCUUCCCUUUGCGGGUUCGCCCCGCUGGGGAGCUCGGCGGCGCACUGCCAGCCCAUCUCGGCCGCUUCCCGUCGGCGAGGUGGAGCCAGAGCGCACACGUUGGGACCCGAAAGAUGGUGAACUAUGCUCGGGCAGGACGAAGCCAGAGGAAACUCUGGUGGAGGUCCGUAGCGAUUCUGACGUGCAAAUCGAUCGUCGGACCCGAGUAUAGGGGCGAAAGACUAAUCGAACCGUCU
rnacentral:rRNA from 1 species